rnacentral:rRNA from 1 species
GAUGAACGCUAGCUACAGGCUUAACACAUGCAAGUCGAGGGGAAACGACAUCGAAAGCUUGCUUUUGAUGGGCGUCGACCGGCGCACGGGUGAGUAACGCGUAUCCAACCUGCCCAUCACUUGGGAAUAACCUUGCGAAAGUAAGACUAAUACCCAAUGACAUCCCACGAAGACAUCUGAAUGGGAUUAAUGAUUUAUCGGUGAUGGAUGGGGAUGCGUCUGAUUAGCUAGUUGGUGGGGUAACGGCCCACCAAGGCAACGAUGAGUAGGGGUUCUGAGAGGAAGGUCCCCCACAUUGGAACUGAGACACGGUCCAAACUCCUACGGGAGGCGGCAGUAAGGAAUAUUAGUCAAUGGGCGAUGGCCUGAACCAGCCAAGUAGCGUGCAGGAUGACGGCCCUAGGGGUUGUAAGCUGCUUUUAUAAGGGAAAAGUGUGGGUCUCGUGAGACUUUUUGCAUGUACCUUAUGAAUAAGGACCGGCUAAUUCCGUG